CAGUAGCCGCGGUAAUACGUAGGUGGCAAGCGUAGUCCGGAAUUAUUGGGCGUAAAGGGCUCGCAGGCGGUUUCUUAAGUCUGAUGUGAAAGCCCCCGGCUCAACCGGGGAGGGUCAUUGGAAACUGGGAAACUUGAGUGCAGAAGAGGAGAGUGGAAUUCCACGUGUAGCGGUGAAAUGCGUAGAGAUGUGGAGGAACACCAGUGGCGAAGGCGACUCUCUGGUCUGUAACUGACGCUGAGGAGCGAAAGCGUGGGGAGCGAACAGGAUUAGAUACCCCAGUAGUCCCUGUCUCUUAUAC
rnacentral:rRNA from 1 species